UUUCCAUUUAUGGAUUCUUAGUGGCGAACGGGUGAGUAACGCGUAGACAACCUACUUCUUAGAUGGGGACAACACUGCGAAAGUGGUGCUAAUACCGAAUGUUGUAUCGAGAAUGCAUAUUGUUGAUACUAAAGAUGGCCUCUAUUUAUAAGCUAUCACUAAGAGAUGGGUCUGCGUCUGAUUAGCUAGUUGGUGAGGUAAUGGCUCACCAUGGCGACGAUCAGUAGCCGGUCUGAGAGGAUGAACGGCCACACUGGGACUGAGACACGGCCCAGACUCCUACGGGAGGCAGCAGUGGGGAAUCUUCCGCAAUGGACGAAAGUCUGACGGAGCAACGCCGCGUGAGUGAAGAAGGUUUUCGGA
rnacentral:rRNA from 1 species